rnacentral:rRNA from 1 species
GACGAACGCUGGCGGCGUGCCUAAUACAUGCAAGUAGAACGCUGAAGGAGGAGCUUGCUUCUCUGGAUGAGUUGCGAACGGGUGAGUAACGCGUAGGUAACCUGCCUGGUAGCGGGGGAUAACUAUUGGAAACGAUAGCUAAUACCGCAUAAGAGUAGAUGUUGCAUGACAUUUGCUUAAAAGGUGCAAUUGCAUCACUACCAGAUGGACCUGCGUUGUAUUAGCUAGUUGGUGGGGUAACGGCUCACCAAGGCGACGAUACAUAGCCGACCUGAGAGGGUGAUCGGCCACACUGGGACUGAGACACGGCCCAGACUCCUACGGGAGGCAGCAGUAGGGAAUCUUCGGCAAUGGACGGAAGUCUGAACGAGCAACGCCGCGUGAGGGAAGAAGGUUUUCGGAUCGUAAAGCGCUGUUGUAAGAGAAGAACGAGUGUGAGAGUGGAAAGUUCACACUGUGACGGUAUCUUACCAGAAAGGGACGGCUAACUACGUG